CAGCUGAUGCUAGUUUAUAUCUUGUUGUGAUUGAUCACAUUAUCAGUACGUCUGACAUUAUCAUUGUUUUUCAGAAUGUUGGCAAUAACAGGCUGUACAAUAACACUUAAUGAAUUAGCUAUUAAUAUAUCCAGUGCCCAAUAGCCUUUCUGAAGUGCAAAACACUGAAUGCUUCAUACUUCAUACAAUGCUUCAAUGAUUGUCUAACUGAACUAUUCUUCCCUCUUCUCCACUGUUUGUCUAACUGAACUAUUCUUCCCUCUUCUCCACUGUUCCCUAGAAUGAGUGGAUUUAAAAAUAUAUACCAAGACGUCCAACCAGUAACCUUUGACUUGCAGAUGAAAAUGUGAGAAGCCAUAAAGGUGUUCGCAGUGCUCCUAUGCUUCUGUUGACAGAAGCUCUCUGUUACAAGGACACUUAAGGACACACACACACACAAGAAAAGCCUUACUGCUGCCAGGAGUGUCCUUACAGCAGCAUCCAGAAGAAGAGCUUAGACCUCCAUUCACGGCGUCAUCACACUGGAGAGUCAUUCCCUUGUCACCUGUGCCAGUAUUUGUUUUGCUAAUUAUGCACACUUCUUGUAAUAAUUAAGUAAAUUCCAUGUGCCAUUGCUUUUGAAAUAUAAUGUCAUGGUUUUAAAUAAUAUUUGAUCAGAGCUCGAGUCACGGUUUAAUAAGUUUGGUGGAAUGUAGGUGAAUGUUAUUUGCUUAGUUUUAUUGGGUGGAUAAGUAUAGGUAAAAAUCGGACAAAUAAACAUCAUAUUAGUUACUCUUCUAUAUAUUCUGUUCUAUAUAUUGUUCAAACACAUUUGACAUAUUUAGAAUUAACAUGUAUGGAAUCAAAAUGAAUGUGUCUUAUUUCAUCACAUCUAGCUCUGAGAAUGAGUCCCAGAUGUGGACUGGAAUGGGAAUUCAAAAUGGGAUCAGAUGCGUCAAGGAAACAGUGCACAAACCUGGCAAGGGGUUCAUGCCUCUGGCAGGCACGUGCACACAUAGACAUCAAAGGGGGCUUGAGCACCUGCCCUUUU